rnacentral:RNase_P_RNA from 1 species
CGAGCCGGGCGGACGGCCGCGUCAGGACCCCAGGGUCCUGCCGAGGAAGGUCCGGGCUCCACAGGGCAGGGUGAUGGCUAACGGCCACCCGGGGUGACCCGCGGGACAGUGCCACAGAAAACAGACCGCCUGGGACCUCGGUCCCCGGUAAGGGUGAAACGGUGGUGUAAGAGACCACCAGUGCCCAGGGCGACCUGGGCAGCUAGGUAAACCCCACCCGGAGCAAGGUCAAGAGGGCGUCGUAGCGAUACGCCGCCCGCGCGGACGUCCGAGGGCUGCCCGCCCGAGUCCGCGGGUAGACCGCACGAGGCUGCCGGCAACGGCAGCCCUAGAUGGAUGGCCGCCACCCGACGGGCCGCGAGGCCCCCGGGCAACAGAACCCGGCCUACAGCCCGACUCGUCUG